AUGGCCGCCGACGCCGCGUACGCGAAGCUGGUGCUGCUCGCCUGCAACGGCGGCGUCGGCGUCCGCGCUGCACCUGCUGCAGUGAGGGGGGUUCGGCCGGGGCCGCGUCGUGGCCGGGCUCGUCUCCCCGCUCCCGCGCCACUCCACGCACCAACACCAGCGCCGCCUCCGCCGCGUGCUCGCCGUCGCCACCGAGCCCAGGCCCCCUCCCUCGCCGCCGGCCCCACGCACCGGCAGGACCAGGGCCAACACCAUCCAGUCCACCAGGUUCGGGGACGUGUCCAAGGAGGUCAAGCGGGUGUGGAAGCAGAUGGAGGAGGACGAGCAGCUGGCCUCCCUCAUGCACGGCCUCCACGGCCAGAACCUCCACGACGACAAGGCUGCAGUUAG
rnacentral:rRNA from 1 species